GAGCAGCAGCUGCAGCGUGCGCAGCGGAGGCGCCCACAUGGCAGACCUGCAGGCAGAGGACGAACGGGAAGGAGGGCAGCCCCCCGAGCCUAGCUUGGGCCCCCAGCUCUCCGGCUGGGCCGAACCUGCUUUGCUCCAGGUCCACGCAGGCUCGCCUCCCCGCCGAGCCCCUCCGCACCGCCCCCCCACCCCGCCACCUGGCUGGAAAUGCCCAAAUGGGAUCCCACCCCGGCCACUCCAUUGAGUUCCAGGCGCCCUGUGGGACAGCAUGUCGUGCAUUCAUUCAACAACCGUUCACUGAGUGCUUGCUGUGUUCCAGCCUCAGUUCUAAGGAAUACGCAGAUCCAACCUAUCAGCCAGGCCUGUCAGCUCUUCUGUUUAGGCCCUGAAUUCCUCCACGUCCCGCACAGCCAUCACCCUCCAACAUGAUCCCAGCUCCAGACUCCAUCUGGAUUUCCUUAUAGCAGCUGCCCCCCCAGGCCUCCAGUUGUCUGUCAUCAACCUCUGGUCUGUUUCCCACAGCUGCCAGAGUCAGGCCAUGUGUCUCCCUUUCCUAGAACCCCUCGUGGUCCCCAGCUCACUCAGAGCAAAAGCCCAGGUCUUCCUGUGCCCGACAAAGCCCUGCACCCUCUUCCUAUCCCGUCCCCGCCCUCUUCUCCCUCCCACUCACCCCUCACUCACUCUGUUCCAGGCACACUGACCUCCUUGCUGCUUCUGAAACACAACAAGGAUGGUCCUGCCUCAGGGCCUUUGCUAUUACCUCACUCUAGAGCAUUCUUCCUAGAAUUUUCACAUGGCUCCCCCUCUUUCCUUAUUUGGGUCUUAGCUCACAUGUCCCCUCCUCAGAAGCCCUCCCUGACAACCCCAUUUAGCGUUGCUCCUCCUGGGCGCUCCCUGUCACAGUCCAACUUUUUCAUUUCAGCAUUUGUCACUCUGAAAUUGCCUCACUUGUUUGCCAUUGUUUAUGAUCUGAAUUCCUCCACCAAAACAUCAGCUCUCA